AAGAAGCUCCUGGAGAACGGUUGGUCAUCUGAUAAAGAUGGCAGCACCUGUAGGGGUGUGGGAAACUACCGCCGGGAGCUAUUUUUAU
rnacentral:ncRNA from 1 species